rnacentral:rRNA from 1 species
UGGGGAAUAUUGCACAAUGGGCGCAAGCCUGAUGCAGCAACGCCGCGUGGAGGAAGACGGUUUUCGGAUUGUAAACUCCUGUUCUUAGUGAAGAAGAAUGACGGUACUUAAUGAAUAAGCUCCGGCUAACUACGUGCCAGCAGCCGCGGUAAUACGUAGGGAGCAAGCGUUGUCCGGAUUUACUGGGUGUAAAGGGUGCGUAGGCGGCAAAGCAAGUCAGAUGUGAAAUGUAUGGGCUCAACCCAUGAACUGCAUUUGAAACUGCAUUGCUUGAGUGAAGUAGAGGCAGGCGGAAUUCCCUGUGUAGCGGUGAAAUGCGUAGAGAUAGGGAGGAACACCAGUGGCGAAGGCGGCCUGCUGGGCUUAACUGACGCUGAGGCACGAAAGCGUGGGUAGCAAACAGGAUUAGAUACCCUGGUAGU